CCUACGGGUGGCAGCAGUGGGGAAUAUUGCAAAAUGGGCGCAAGCCUGAUGCAGCCAUGCCGCGUGUGUGAAGAAGGCCUUCGGGUUGUAAAGCACUUUCAGCGGGGAGGAAGGCGUUAAGGUUAAUAACCUUGGCGAUUGACGUUACCCGCAGAAGAAGCACCGGCUAACUCCGUGCCAGCAGCCGCGGUAAUACGGAGGGUGCAAGCGUUAAUCGGAAUUACUGGGCGUAAAGCGCACGCAGGCGGUCUGUCGAGUCGGAUGUGAAAUCCCCGGGCUCAACCUGGGAACUGCAUUCGAAACUGGCAGGCUAGAGUCUUGUAGAGGGGGGUAGAAUUCCAGGUGUAGCGGUGAAAUGCGUAGAGAUCUGGAGGAAUACCGGUGGCGAAGGCGGCCCCCUGGACAAAGACUGACGCUCAGGUGCGAAAGCGUGGGGAGCAAACAGGAUUAGAUACCCGAGUAGUC
rnacentral:rRNA from 1 species